CCUACGGGAGGCUGCAGUGAGGAAUAUUGGUCAAUGGGCUUACGCCUGAACCAGCCAAGUCGCGUGAGGGAAGACUGCCCUAUGUGUUGUAAACCUCUUUUGUCAGGGAGCAAUUGGCGCUACGUGUAGCGUUAUCGAGAGUACCUGAAGAAAAAGCAUCGGCUAACUCCGUGCCAGCAGCCGCGGUAUUACGGGGGAUGCGAGCUUUAUCGGGAUUUAUUGGGUUUAAAGGGUGCGUAGGCGGAAUGCCAAGUCAGCGGUAAAAUCGCGGGGCUCAACCUCGCUCCGCCGUUGAAACUGGCGUUCUUGAGUGGGCGAGAGGUAUGCGGAAGUCCUAGUGUAGCGGUGAAAUGCAUAGAUAUUAGGAGGAACACCAGUGGCGAAGGCGGCUUGCUGGACUGAAACUGACGCUGAGGCUCGAAAGCGUGGGGAGCAAACAGGAUUAGAUACCCCAGUAGUC
rnacentral:rRNA from 1 species